rnacentral:rRNA from 1 species
GUAGCGGCGAGCGAACGGGGAGGAGCCCAGAGCCUGAAUCAGUGUGUGUGUUAGUGGAAGCGUCUGGAAAGGCGCGCGAUACAGGGUGACAGCCCCGUACACAAAAAUGCACAUGCUGUGAGCUCGAUGAGUAGGGCGGGACACGUGGUAUCCUGUCUGAAUAUGGGGGGACCAUCCUCCAAGGCUAAAUACUCCUGACUGACCGAUAGUGAACCAGUACCGUGAGGGAAAGGCGAAAAGAACCCCGGCGAGGGGAGUGAAAAAGAACCUGAAACCGUGUACGUACAAGCAGUGGGAGCACAGAGCAAUCUGUGUGACUGCGUACCUUUUGUAUAAUGGGUCAGCGACUUAUAUUCUGUAGCAAGGUUAACCGAAUAGGGGAGCCGAAGGGAAACCGAGUCUUAACUGGGCGUUAAGUUGCAGGGUAUAGACCCGAAACCCGGUGAUCUAGCCAUGGGCAGGUUGAAGGUUGGGUAACACUAACUGGAGGACCGAACCGACUAAUGUUGAAAAAUUAGCGGAUGACUUGUGGCUGGGGGUGAAAGGCCAAUCAAACCGGGAGAUAGCUGGUUCUCCCCGAAAGCUAUUUAGGUAGCGCCUCGUGAAUUCAUCUCCGGGGGUAGAGCACUGUUUCGGCAAGGGGGUCAUCCCGACUUACCAACCCGAUGCAAACUGCGAAUACCGGAGAAUGUUAUCACGGGAGACACACGGCGGGUGCUAACGUCCGUCGUGAAGAGGGAAACAACCCAGACCGCCAGCUAAGGUCCCAAAGUCAUGGUUAAGUGGGAAACGAUGUGGGAAGGCCCAGACAGCCAGGAUGUUGGCUUAGAAGCAGCCAUCAUUUAAAGAAAGCGUAAUAGCUCACUGGUCGAGUCGGCCUGCGCGGAAGAUGUAACGGGGCUAAACCAUGCACCGAAGCUGCGGCAGCGACGCUUAUGCGUUGUUGGGUAGGGGAGCGUUCUGUAAGCCUGUGAAGGUGUACUGUGAGGUAUGCUGGAGGUAUCAGAAGUGCGAAUGCUGACAUAAGUAACGAUAAAGCGGGUGAAAAGCCCGCUCGCCGGAAGACCAAGGGUUCCUGUCCAACGUUAAUCGGGGCAGGGUGAGUCGACCCCUAAGGCGAGGCCGAAAGGCGUAGUCGAUGGGAAACAGGUUAAUAUUCCUGUACUUGGUGUUACUGCGAAGGGGGGACGGAGAAGGCUAUGUUGGCCGGGCGACGGUUGUCCCGGUUUAAGCGUGUAGGCUGGUUUUCCAGGCAAAUCCGGAAAAUCAAGGCUGAGGCGUGAUGACGAGGCACUACGGUGCUGAAGCAACAAAUGCCCUGCUUCCAGGAAAAGCCUCUAAGCAUCAGGUAACAUCAAAUCGUACCCCAAACCGACACAGGUGGUCAGGUAGAGAAUACCAAGGCGCUUGAGAGAACUCGGGUGAAGGAACUAGGCAAAAUGGUGCCGUAACUUCGGGAGAAGGCACGCUGAUAUGUAGGUGAAGUCCCUCGCGGAUGGAGCUGAAAUCAGUCGAAGAUACCAGCUGGCUGCAACUGUUUAUUAAAAACACAGCACUGUGCAAACACGAAAGUGGACGUAUACGGUGUGACGCCUGCCCGGUGCCGGAAGGUUAAUUGAUGGGGUCAGCGCAAGCGAAGCUCUUGAUCGAAGCCCCGGUAAACGGCGGCCGUAACUAUAACGGUCCUAAGGUAGCGAAAUUCCUUGUCGGGUAAGUUCCGACCUGCACGAAUGGCGUAAUGAUGGCCAGGCUGUCUCCACCCGAGACUCAGUGAAAUUGAACUCGCUGUGAAGAUGCAGUGUACCCGCGGCAAGACGGAAAGACCCCGUGAACCUUUACUAUAGCUUGACACUGAACAUUGAGCCUUGAUG